AGAAUCAACGCUGGCGGCGUGCCUAACACAUGCAAGUCGAACGAGAAAGUGGAGCAAUCCAUGAGUAAAGUGGCGCACGGGUGAGUAACACGUGACUAACCUACCCUUGAGUGGGGGAUAACCUAGGGAAACCUGGGCUAAUACCGCAUAAUACCUUCGGGUCAAAGGAGCAAUUUCGCUUAAGGAGGGGGUCGCGGCCGAUUAGUUAGUUGGCGGGGUAAUGGCCCACCAAGACUAUGAUCGGUAU
rnacentral:rRNA from 1 species